rnacentral:rRNA from 1 species
GUGGGGAAUCUUGCGCAAUGGGCGAAAGCCUGACGCAGCCAUGCCGCGUGAAUGAUGAAGGUCUUAGGAUUGUAAAAUUCUUUCACCGGGGACGAUAAUGACGGUACCCGAGAAGAAGCCCCGGCUAACUUCGUGCCAGCAGCCGCGGUAAUACGAAGGGGGCUAGCGUUGCUCGGAAUUACUGGGCGUAAAGGGCGCGUAGGCGGAUCGUUAAGUCAGGGGUGAAAUCCCAGAGCUCAACUCUGGAACUGCCCUUGAUACUGGCGAUCUUGAGUGUGAGAGAGGUAUGUGGAACUCCGAGUGUAGAGGUGAAAUUCGUAGAUAUUCGGAAGAACACCAGUGGCGAAGGCGACAUACUGGCUCAUUACUGACGCUGAGGCGCGAAAGCGUGGGGAGCAAACAGGAUUAGAUACCCGAGUAGUCC